AUGCUGUCAUCACUGAUGUUUCUAGUUAUUCUAAAAGGUGUCAGCUGUGAAGAACUCCGUCCAGUCAAUACAGAAGAGUACAGUUUAGAAGGCAGCACUGUGACUCUGUCCUACAAUUACUCCAAACAAGCAACUGGUAGUGAUCGUUUCUUCUGGUAUCGACAAUAUCCAGGAAAACCACCAGAGUUCAUCAUCUCCCAUUCAGGAACAGGAGGAAUAUUGAAUAAUCCAAUCCCUAAACUGAAGAUUAAAGUGGAGAACAACCUGAUCAGUAUGAACAUCUCCUCUGCUGCAGUGUCAGACUCUGCUGUGUACUACUGUGCUGUGAGGCCCACAGUGACAGGAAACACCAAAACUCUGUACAAAAACCUUUGGAGCAAAGACAACACAAUACUGCACAACAUCCACUAG